AGCCUAGGUCGGAUUAGCUAGUUGGUGAGGUAAUGGCUCACCAAGGCGACGAUCCGUAACUGGUCUGAGAGGAUGAUCAGUCACACUGGAACUGAGACACGGUCCAGACUCUACGGGAGGCAGCAGUGGGGAAUAUUGGACAAUGGGCGAAAGCCUGAUCCAGCCAUGCCGCGUGUGUGAAGAAGGUCUUCGGAUUGUAAAGCACUUUAAGUUGGGAGGAAGGGCAUUAACCUAAUACGUUAGUGUUUUGACGUUACCGACAGAAUAAGCACCG
rnacentral:rRNA from 1 species